GCCUCAAGAUGAGACUUCCCUGAGGGUAUAACCCUCCUGAAGGUUCGUUCGAGACCAGGACGUUGAUAGGUCGGAUGUGGAAGCGCAGUAAUGCGUUAAGCUGACCGAUACUAAUUGACCGUGAGGCUUGAUCCU
rnacentral:rRNA from 1 species